GGGCGGGGCCAGAUUCUCUUUCUCCAAUGCUAAGGAAAGGGAGCCAGCGAUUGACUGCAAUCAACCAAAACCUCCCGGGGAUCUACCAGUAGAUCGUGAUCGACCUGUUGGACAUCCCUCCUCUAGCAGAAUGGGCAAUAUGCUCCCAUCUAUAGACACAUAAGGAAGGGAGAAUCAGUCUAUAGAACUGGAUUUAGAAAAGAUUGUUGCAUAAGAAGCAAAAUAAAAGACACCAAGUAGACAGAAUUAUGUGUCCCAAGUGCUUCGGAAGUUCUGGUACACAAAACGAUGGCAAAAGGAGCCAAGAAAAGAAGGUCUUUCAAUUCUGAUUCCCAGAUGAUGGCUGGUUUCUGUGUGGAAACCAGAGUCCUAUGAAAGAGGUUGUUCCAAGCUUGUAUUAUGAGCUCAUCCACAUUCUACAAAUCAGAACAACACAAGGGGAAUAUAUCUGGCAGUAGUACGAAUGGAGGUGGCCAAUUUUGACAGAUGGCAGAAGAAUAUCUCAGAGCACCUGUAAACCUACACUCCAAGUUUGUAAAUCCCUUUGGGAAUGCAGCUGAUGUUAAUAGGUUUUUUACAUUUGGCAGUGUGAAAAAUGCUUUAAAGAAGCAAAAAGUGUAUAUGCCCUAUUGCUUGCGCUCUGAACAUUAGUGUAGUUAAAUGCCAUACAUUAAUCCGAUUGCAGUUUUUGAAGUUAAAUAAAUAGAUUUAAACAAAAAAUGCCCUGUAUGUACGGGUAAUGUAUGUGGUAUAAUUUUGUAUAUUUGCAAGAUGCCUUUUCUUUAAUUCAUAGAAAAGGAGGCCGAAUACCUUUGGUCAGUCUGGAGCAAAGUACAACUUGAUGCACUACAAUAACCAGAUUCAGGUAGGUAGCCAUGUUGGUCUGACGCAUUCAAAAUAUAUAAAAAAAUAAUUAAAAUGUCCAAUAGCACCUUAGAGACCAACUAAGUUUGUUCUUGGUAUAAGCUUUCGUGUGCAUGCACACUUUUCAAAUACAUUUUUUAUUUUUUUAUAUAAUGACCAGGAGACAUUGCAUUAAAAUACUGAUUAUAUCUACUUAAUAUGUACAGUUAGAACACAUAUGAUCACUGUGUUCUAAAAACUGGUUUAAACCUAGCGUCAAGACAGACUGGAAAGCUACAAUGUACCACUUAUGUUAGCAUCUGGCCUCUGAAAUAUAAUUUUCAUUCCAGUUGGGAUUGUAUUGCAUUCCAAAACCUACUACAUGAAAAUCCAAGAAUAGCCUUUUUAAAAUAAAACUCUUUUUAAAACUCUGGCCUUUAUUGAACAUUUGUUCCAAUUUGUUUGGGGGGCAGCGUUCAUCCUGAUUUGUGGGGUGUUUGUACAUCUUUCUGUUAAUCAUUCAUUCACCCUAAACUUCUCAGUACAUUUCCUUGUUGCUUUCCUAACCACAAAAUAUCCAUUGGUUGUUUUGUUUUUGUUUUUUAAAGUGGAUUUGUUGCACUAGGGCAUGGGUAGGCAAACUAAGGCCCAGGGGCCGGAUCCAGCCCAAUCACCUUUUAAAUCUGGCCCACAGACGGUCCAGGACGUGUUUUCACAUGACGUGUUUUCACAUGAGUAGAAUAUGUCCUUUUAUUUAAAAUGCAUCUCUGGGUUAUUUGUCGGGCACAGGAAUUCAUUUAUUUAUUUUUUCCAAAAUAUAGUCUGGCCCCCCACAAGGUCUGAGGGACAAUGGACCGGCCCCCUGCUGAAAAAGUUUGCUGACCCCUGCACUAGGGCAACAGAGAGCUCUUGCCCACUUCAAUUGCCACUCGGUUUCCACUAUGUGCUGGAAUUCCUCCCACAAAAUUGUGGCAGACUUCUAAAAUAGCAACCUUUCUGGCCGGGUUGAGAUCUGAUAAUAUACGUGGCACUGACCUCAGCGACUAAAGCUCGUAAGUACUGGUUGUCGAGCAUCAUCGUCUCCUCUUUGCCAGGAAGAACCCUGGCAUGAGGUAAAUAGUAGGAGUGAGGAAUUUGUCUGUCCUAAAGGAUCUGUUUCCCUUGCCCCUAAUCUUUCAGCAGAGAUGCCUCUCUCAAGGAGUUGCUUCCAUGCCUAAUGAAAGGAAACAGCUAUGCGACAUGCAUCACAGCGGAGGAAACGAUCAGGUGAUUUUGUUUCCAUUCCAAACUGAAGGGAGUUCCUCCAGGAGUCUGCGACAGGGAACCUGAAAAAGCACUUGCGGGCUUGAACACGUGCCAUAGACGACAUGGCCAGGGCCCAAGGCAAACUCGUCCGCUUUCAUGCUCUAGUGGGGCACUUGUGGUUCGCAGCGCACAGAAGGAAAUAACCAGCUGCUUUGGCCUUCUGAUGAACAGUUUGCCAAACAUUUAGGCAGGCAGCUGUGGGCGAUGCAGCAGACCACAGAGCAAACAAGACGAUGGAGUACAUUACUUGGGAUGGAAUUUGAAAAACUGUUUUAAGCCUGGCCCCUGGUAUGCUGGGUUUGAGCUAUAAAGCCUUAAUCGGCUCAGGAGCACAAUACCUCAAGGACCGCCUCUUUCCAUGUUAACCUACGUGGACCCUGAGAUCAUCUUCUGAGGCCCUUCUUUGUGUGCCGCCUCCUCCUUGAGAGGUCCAGAGGGUGACAACACGAGAACGGGGCCUUCUCUGCAGUGGCUCCCCAUCUGUGGAAUGCUCUCCCUAGGGAAGUUCGCCUGGCACCUUCAUUAUACACCUUUAGGCACCAGGCAAAAACAUUCCUUUUUAACCGGAAUUUUAGGUGAUUUGAUUGACAUCCUACGUUCUUUUAAAAUGUGGGAUUUUUUCUUGGGGAGGGGGAGGGGGAGUUAUAGGGUUGUUGUUUUUAUUUUGACUAUAUAUUUUGUGGUUUUAUAUUUUGAUUUUGUUCUGUGAACCGCCCUGAGACCUCCAGUAUAUAAAUUCAAUAAAUAAAUAAUACAGUGGUACCUAGGGUUACAGAAGCUUCAGGUUACAGACUCCGCUAACCCAGAGAUAGUACCUCGGGUUAAGAAGUUUGCUUCAGGAUGAGAACAGAAAUCGUGCAGCGGCGGCAGCAGGAGUCCCCAUUAGCUAAAGUGGUACCUCAGGUUAAGAACAGUUUCAGGUUAAGAACAGACCUCCAGAACGAAUUAAGUUCUUAACCCGAGGUACCACUGUAUUUACUUGGGACUAAACUAUCACACCACUUGAGUCUUCUUUCUGGACAAUCUUCUAACUCCAGAGAUGGGGCGAAUGAGUCAGUCUCCUCCCUGCCCCCCAGUUGUGCUUCAGUUUAGCUGCUGCUAAUAACCAUUCUCAAUUCUCACAAUUAUACAGUAACAGUUGGACAUGGACAUACACACAGUAAAUAGCAGGUCAGUAAUUAUAGCUAUGAUGGGCCAGUAAAUGCCUUUUGCCCCAGAUUUUAACUUGAAUGUUAUGAUUACAGUCAAAGCUGUACAGUACAGAAAACAAACAGCUGCAACACAGUCCAUCAUUCAGGUAUGCCAAAGGGGUUGUGUGUGUCCAGUGUUGAGUUUCAUAGGCUUUUAUUAACCCUCUCCCACAUAAAUGCAGUGAAAGGGUAACAGGGCUUUGUGAGCAGGGAGAGUCUGUGACAGAGAGAAGUCCAGAAUCGGAUUGGGAAGCUGAAGCAGAAGAGGAGGGAGGCCAAAAAGCAGAGAUAGAUCAGGCUUGUGAAGAGGCACAGGUGUCUCCCCCUUCUGCUGUGACAAGCAUCCCUUCCCCCUGGUCUCCCAGAACCAGAAGAGGCAUGAAGGGGGAUGAGCAAAGGCAGGCAUGCAGGUGCUAUCUCUGGCUGCUGGGGGAAAAUCUCUGAGAAGAGACAUAGGUGACAAUGGGGAGGCAGGGACCUUUAGUCUUAGCAACUGCUUCAUGGUUGCAAAACCUGACAGAGAUGAAUUACUAUGUUAUUUAGGCUUGACAGUCCUGUGUACAGUGCUUUUUUUCUGGGUGGACGCAUACCCCUAAACAUUUUGUGAAUCUAAGUUUGGCCUCAUUGAGGGGCAAUAUUUCAAUAUGAGUAGGAAAAUGAGAGUACAGUGGUGCCUCGCAAGACGAAAUUAAUCCGUUCCGCGAGAGUCUUCGUCUAGCGGUUUUUUCGUCUUGCGAAGCAAGCCCAUUGACGGAUUAGCGCUAUUAGCGCUAUUAGCGGUUUAGCGGCUAUUAAAGGCUUAAAGGCUUAGGGGAUUAGCUGCUAAAAGGCUAUUAAAGGCUAUUAAAGGCUUAGCAGAUUAGAUAAAGGGGGGGGAAAGCGAAAAAAAUAUAUCAAGACUCGCAAGACAUUUUCGUCUUGCGAAGCAAGCCCAUAGGGGAAUUCGUCCUGCGAAGCAACUCCAAAACGGAAAACCCUUUCGUCUAGCGGUUUUUCCGUCUUGCGAGGCAUUCGUCUUGCGGGGCACCACUGUACCCCUAAACCUUUUUUUAGGAGGGAAAAAAAAAGCACUGCCUGUGUAGAUCCUCUUUGGCUAAUAAAGAGUUAACUCCAUCUCAGUGUGAUUUAUUGCUGUUCACUGCUGUCAUUAUCCAUUAAGAAACAAGAAUUGAUAGCAAUGUUUAGGGCUUUUUUAAAGUUUCUUUUCUAUCUUUUUUUAGAAAGGCCUUCCUUCCCGAUGCUUCUUCCCAAUGCCCCUUUCUCAGCACCUCAAAAUACAUAUUUUUCAUCUAACAUCUGUUUCUUUUUCAUCCUCCACUGCAUGUAAAUAGCUGUGGGGGGAGAAACAGCCACUACAAAAUACCAGAUUUCCUUGGUAGGAUUUCAAAUUACAGGCAGUUGUGGGAUUGAAAGCUACUAAUCCAUGCCAAAAACAUGGUGUAAGGCUUAAAAAUGGCGGUAUUACCCAGCCAGAGCUGGACGUAUUUAGCUACUCAGAGGAUCUUUCAAAUGAGCAGAAUAUACAGAAAGUUAAGAAUGUUCAUUUUCAUUUAUUGCAAUUAUAUCCCACCCAUCCUUCAAGGAGCUCAAGGUGGAGUGAUUUCCCCCUCUCCUCAUUUUAUCCAGACAACUUUGUGAGGUAAAUUAGGCUGCGAGUGAGUGACUGGUCCAAGGACGUCAAGUGCAUGUGAUGGCUGAGCAGAGAUGUGAACCCUGAUCUCCCAGGUCCCAUACCUUCCAAGUGUCCCGAUUUUCCAGAGACAGUCCCAGAAUUACAAAAACUGUCCCAGCUUCUGAUUUGAUCCUGGUAUGUCCCUGUUAGUUUCUGUUCUUAUCACUGUGCAGCUGCGUGGAGUCACAGGACUCUGUUUACAUUCCUGGGAUUCCAUACUAUUGGAGUCUCACGGGAAAGAAGACGGGAUGUGACGUUAGUGGUUUCCUGUUUCCUUUGUUCCAUUGCUCUCUGCUUUCAUAGAGAGAGGAUGUCUUUUCUGUUCUGCGUAGUUUAGAAAUAAAACUCUUUACAGUGUAGCUCAUACUGUCUCAUCCUUCCUUGUGCUGGGAACUCUGCUGGGAGGACGUGACUUGGAGCCUCAUCAAAGGCUCAAGGUCGUUAAACAAGUCAGGAGGCAAUUCCAAAGAAAAGCUUUAUCAGCUCGGUCAAACGGAGUUCCGACAGUCCCUAUUUCUCCUGCCACUGCUGCCACUGCCAAGCUCGGGGAGGAGGUUGAGCCGGCGCUUCUCCCAAGCAGCGGUGGUGAGAGAGCAUCCCAUUGCCUCUCCAAGACCGCUGUUGCCAGCUUCCUCCCUUAGGCAGCUUGUAGUAGAUGCUGGACAGCAGGUGAGGAGGAGCCACCACCAUCGAGGCCCAGCCCGACAAGAUGCACUGGCUCUGAGGGGCAAGCAGAGGGCCAGGGCUGCCCUGGGCAGGCAGGGGAGAAGGGCACAAGGAGUCUUGAUUUGAAGGGGGGAAAUGAUUUGUGCAUUCACGUCUAAUCUUGGCCCUUUGUAAACUUUAUUUAUUGUUUUGUGACAUCUGAAGGCAGCCCUGUUUAGGGAAGUUUUGAAUGACUGAUGUUUUAAUGUAUUUUUAAUCUUUUGUGGAAGUCGCCCAGAGUGGCUGGGGAAACCUAGCCAGAUGGGCGGAGUAGAAAUAAUACAUUAUUAUUAUUAUUAUUAUUAUUAUUAUUAUGCUUUUCUUUUUGUAAAUCUACCAAAGAACAAAAUAAAAUCGAGAUUAAGGGGCUUUCUCAGGGUGGUGAAGAGUGUGUGUGUGUGUGUGUGUGUGUGUGUGUGUGUGUUGUGUCUCGUUGGUGUUGUGGUGCUGGCACUCACCAUUUUUCUGACAGGAAAUAAUCUGAGGGGGACAAAAAUGAGUGGUCAAGGAUGGUCAUUUGGCGGGGGGAGUGAGAAAUGUCCCUAUUUCCAUCUGAGGAAUGUUGGAGGGUAUGAGGUCCUAGUCCUAUACUCCAGCCACUCUAACAUACUGGUCUAUGGCAACACACCCAAAAUUCCAGAGACAAAUGCUUAAAGCUCCUUCAUUCCACCAGAGUAGACACACAACAGGAGAGCUCCCCUUCUGUCGAUGAUAGAACUUACCAACUUUAUAAUUACAGCCGCAAAACAUAAAGGAAUCAUUGGCAGAACUGCAAAACAUGAUAAAAGGACAAAACUAUCCCAUUUUGGAGGAGAGGCAAGGAGGCGACGUAUGACUUUAUCAAAGAUUCUCCCAGCCUACUGAUAAAGGUAAUUCAACCUUCAGGUGUGAGUACUUUCAUUAGGAAGGUGGCAUAAUUUCUUCACUUUGGAGGAAGUUUUCCAAAUUAUUUGGGAGAUAGUGUGCAAGCACAGGAACGAGAUAAGAACUGAAAUUCCCAAAGUCACUGCUUGCUCCUGUUAUUUAAAUACUGUUACACUUGCCAGGACAAUUUUAGUUUAGCCAUUUCAUUCAGUGUUUCUCGGCUAGGUCUGGUGGGUAUCGGUGGGUUCUGUGAAAGGAAACAGCAUGGGACCUAAUUGGGAAUAGCAGCUAAAAUUGUUUCGUUGAACUCAACCCAGAAUUGAAAUUAAACUAAACUCUGUCCUCUUCCAAACACUCCAACCGCACCCUUUCUUUCGUCUCGCCCCCCUCCCGAUCCUUUUUAUGUCUUUAACUGCAAUUCCCAAAAUAUAAUUCACCUACCACAAUACCACAUCUUAGUAACUGACAUUUUACAUACAUUUUUUCUUUUCUUUUACUAUUUUACAUAACAGAUACCGAUAAAUAGUUGAGACAUAAUUCUAACAAACUCAUGUUGAAACGUGUUUGGUAUGCUUAUCUUUGUAUUUUGUUUCGAUUGUGAAAUAGUACAAGAAUCAAGUUUUAUUUACUUUUAUGCAUAUUACUAGUUAUUUCUGUCCAUCUUCUUUGCCAUGUAAGCAGUAACCCAGACUUUAAUUCAUAAAUCUAUUCUACUCCAUUCCUGUAUUAAUAUGUGAAUUCUUUUUAAAAAAUUAAACUCAAAAUUAAUUAUCACCAAAUAGGUAUAUAAUUAUGUAUUUUAUCCUAAAAUAUAUACCGGUACUUUUAAAUACAUAUUUCAUUUAUUUAUUUUUGAGCUGAAAACUAUCGCAAAAUUUGGAGAUGUAUGAAAUCCAAGGGAUAUGAACAUUCUGUUCUUUGUAGUAGUCCCAGGGGAACAAAUUAGGCCAGUUCUGUGAAAAAUGUGGAUCAAAUAAAAUUCUUCUCCAUCCCAACUAUUACUGAUAUGAUGCUAUCGAAAGCCUGUAUAUGUUUGGUAUUUAGGAAAAAAAUCAGCUUUGCUUUUAAAUGCAAGUUUGGGGGCAUAUAAAAAUAGGCGUGGUAGAUUUCAGGAGAACUUCAAAGUUUAAUCACAUAUUAACGUAUUAAUCCUUCCCUGAGGGUAACAUACUUUAAAGUUUGGGGUUUUUUUCAUACUCAACAAUGCAGGCAGUUCCUAGGGAAGGUAAAUAAUCAUCAGUUAAAUUCUUAAUAAGAUGUGAUGUUGGGAAUCACCAACGGUCUGUGCAAACUUAUAGGUCCUGACAUAAAUAUGAAAUUGCUUCUCAUUUCCCUAGGGAGGAGAAGGGGUCAACAAGGGUUUCAAGCAUCUGUUAUAUAGAGCACAUUGCGCGUACACACACACACACACACACCAUAAUGAUCACUGUGAGACACCUUCAAAGUUUCAUAACUAUGAUCUGUCUAAAAUAAUGUGAUAAAGUGUCAAUCUUUACAGAAAUGGGGGAGUUCUGAGGAAUCUAAACCCAUCAAGCCCAACACACUUCCACCAAGUAUCUCCCAUAAUUUGAAUUACAGUGCAUUUAUUGGAACAUGGAAGACCAUGGUUAAAUCCUUAACCUCCAGAAAAGCAUGCAACUAGUGGCCUCAGUGUAGUUGAGGGGAGUGUAACAUGCAAACUAAUACCAGUGUACUAGAAGAAGCAAAGAUCACCAGUGCCAAAGCAAUGAUUCUUCACUUCGUUGGACUGGUCAUGUUGUGCGGAUGCCUGGUUAUCUUCUUCCAAAGCAACUACUCUAUUCCGAACUUAAAAAUGGAAAGCGUAAUGCUGGUGGUCAACAAAAGAGGUUUAAAGACUGUCUUAAGGCAAAUCUUUAAAAAUGUAGUAUAAAAAGGUAAAGGGACCCCUGACCAUUAGGUCCAGUCGUGACCGACUCUGGGGUUGCGGCACUCAUCUCGCUUUAUUGGCCGAGGGAGCUGGCGUACAGCUUCCGGGUCAUGUGGCCAGCAUGACUAAGCCGCUUCUGGCGAACCAGAGCAGCGCACAGAAACGCCGUUUACCUUCCCGCCAGAGCAGUACCUAUUUAUCUACUUGCACUUUAACGUGCUUUCAAACUGCUAGGUUGGCAGGAGCAGGGACCAAGCAACGGGAGCUUACCCCAUCGCAGGGAUUCAAACUGCUGACGUUCUGAUCGGCAAGUCCUAGGCUCUGUGGUUUAACCCACAGCGCCACCUGCAAUUGGGAAACACUUGCCUGCAAGCGCUCCAAUUGGAGAACAGCCUUUACCAAAGGUGUCAUGGGCUUUGAAGACACUCAAACUCAGGAUGCAAGGGAGAAACGUGCUAAGAGGAAGGCACGCUUGGCAAAUCCACACCAUGAUCAACUCCUGCCCAGAAACCAAUGUCCCCACUGUGGAAGGAUGUGUGGAUCCAGAACUGGCCUCCACGGCCACUUACAGACCCAUUGCUAAAACCGUGUUUCUGGAAGACAAUCUUACUCGGCUUCAAGUGAUCGCCAAAGAACAUGUUUCAGCCUCAGGGCAUCAUUCCUUUUUGGGCAACCAGGGGUAGGCAGGACCUGAAGCAGAAGUGGGCUAGUUUCACCACAUACACACACCUUCUUUAAAUGUUUUCAGAGGGAGAACUGUGAGAGGAGGAAGACUGUUGUCCAGGAAGCAAUGGCUUUUCCCACCUGCCUUGCCUUACCCCUCCAGCCCUAGGAGCCUUCGUAAAGGAGCUGUUUGCAGAGGAAGAACUGUGAGAGGAGAGAGACUCUGUUUGCCAUGAGGCAGUUGUCGAUUUACCUGGGCUACCCCACCUCCAUCCUGAGGAACCUUCAAAAAAAAAUUGCUGCUG
rnacentral:lncRNA from 1 species